rnacentral:tRNA from 1 species
GGGCGGUGAUGGGCUUGAGCGUUCUCGAAUGUCACGGUAUGUUUCUCGUUUUAUUCCGCUUUACACGCGAAAGGUCGUAGGUUCAAGUCCUAUACCGCCCACCA